AAUGAACGCUGGCGGCGUGUCUUAAGCAUGCAAGUCGUGCGGCAAGGGUAGCAAUACCCCUAGAGCGGCGGACUGGUGAGUAACGCGUGGGUGAUCUGCCUCUGGGAUGGGGAUAGCCACUAGAAAUAGUGGGUAAUACCGAAUACGUUCGUCGGGCUGUGGCCUGACGAGGAAAGGCGCUUCGGCGCCACCCGGAGAUGAGCCCGCGUCCCAUUAGCUAGUUGGUGAGGUAACGGCCCACCAAGGCGAUGAUGGGUAGGCGGCCUGAGAGGGUGUACGCCCACACUGGGACUGAGAUACGGCCCAGACUCCUACGGGAGGCAGCAGCUAAGAAUAUUCCGCAAUGGACGAAAGUCUGACGGAGCGACGCCGCGUGGAUGAAGAAGGCCGAAAAGGUUGUAAAAAUCCUUUUGUUGGGGAAGAAUAAGCGUGGGAGGGAAUGCCCGCGUGAUGACAUGAACCGACGAAUAAGUCCCGGCUAACUACGUGCCAGCAG
rnacentral:rRNA from 1 species